GCGGAGGGAUCAUUACAGAGUUGCAAAACUCCAACAAACCAUCGCGAAUCUUACCCGUACGGUUGCCUCGGCGCUGGCGGUCCGGAAGGCCCUCGGGCCCCCCGGAUCCUCGGGUCUCCCGCUCGCGGGAGGCUGCCCGCCGGAGUGCCGAAACCAAACUCUUGAUAUUUUAUGUCUCUCUGAGUAAACUUUUAAAUAAGUCAAAACUUUCAACAACGGAUCUCUUGGUUCUGGCAUCGAUGAAGAACGCAGCGAAAUGCGAUAAGUAAUGUGAAUUGCAGAAUUCAGUGAAUCAUCGAAUCUUUGAACGCACAUUGCGCUCGCCAGUAUUCUGGCGAGCAUGCCUGUUCGAGCGUCAUUUCAACCAUCAAGCUCUGCUUGCGUUGGGGAUCCGCGUCUGACGCGGUCCCUCAAAAACAGUGGCGGGCUCGCUAGUCACACCGAGCGUAGUAACUCUACAUCGCUAUGGUCGUGCGGCGGGUUCUUGCCGUAAAACCCCCAAUUUCUAAGGUUGACCUCGGAUCAGGUAGGAAUACCCGCUGAACUUAA
rnacentral:rRNA from 1 species